UACGAAGGGGGCUAGCGUUGCUCGGAAUUACUGGGCGUAAAGCGCACGUAGGCGGCUUUCUAAGUCGGGGGUGAAAUCCUGGAGCUCAACUCCAGAACUGCCUUCGAUACUGGAAAGCUCGAGUCCGGGAGAGGUGAGCGGAACUGCGAGUGUAGAGGUGAAAUUCGUAGAUAUUCGCAAGAACACCAGUGGCGAAGGCGGCUCACUGGCCCGGUACUGACGCUGAGGUGCGAAAGCGUGGGGAGCAAACAGG
rnacentral:rRNA from 1 species